rnacentral:rRNA from 1 species
GGAAACCUAUGGGAGGCAGCAGUGGGGGAUAUUGGACAAUGGGGGAAACCCUGAUCCAGCGACGCCGCGUGAGUGAAGAAGUAUUUCGGUAUGUAAAGCUCUGUCAGCAGGGAAGAAAGAAAUGACGGUACCUGACCAAGAAGCCCCGGCUAACUACGUGCCAGCAGCCGCGGUAAUACGGAGGAUGCGAGCGUUAUCCGGAUUUAUUGGGUUUAAAGGGAGCGCAGGCGGCACGGCAAGCCUGAUGUGAAAGCCCGCGGCCCAACCGCGGGACUGCAUUGGGAACUACCGGGCUGGAGUGCCGG